GACUGCUAAAAUAUCGCGAGACUUGGGAGCUACCUCGAGACGAGCGUGGCGCGGGUGCUAAAUCCUGACAGAACCUGACAGAGGCUAGGACUGGUGGGCUCCCAGGACUCAAAGCCACUGGAAGCCACAUGGAACCAGGAGCCUCAUGUCAAGCUGCUGCACCAUUGGUGGAGAGGAAAUUCCAUGUUCUUGUGGGUGUCACCGGGAGUGUCGCGGCCCUGAAGUUGCCCCUUCUGGUGUCAGGCCUUUUGGAGAUUCCUGGGCUGGAAGUAGCAGUGGUCACAACUGAGAGAGCCAAACAUUUCUACAGCCCCCAGGAUGUUCCUGUCACCCUCUACAGCGACGCUGAUGAAUGGGAGAUGUGGAAGUGCCGCUCUGACCCAGUUCUCCACAUUGACCUGCGCAGGUGGGCAGACCUCAUGCUAGUAGCACCUCUGGAUGCCAACACUCUCGGGAAGGUGGCCAGUGGUAUCUGUGACAACUUGCUUACCUGUGUCAUCCGGGCCUGGGAUCGCAGCAAGCCCCUGCUCUUCUGUCCUGCCAUGAACACCGCCAUGUGGGAGCACCCCAUCACUGCACAGCAGGUGGGCCAGCUCAAGGCCUUCGGCUAUGUCGAGAUCCCCUGUGUUGCCAAGACGCUGGUGUGUGGAGACCAAGGUCUGGGGGCCAUGGCUGAGGUUGGAACCAUUGUGGACAAAGUGAAAGAAAUCCUCUCUCAGCACGAUGGCUUCCAGCAGAGUUGAACCAGGAUUUCUGGCACGUGUGUCCCUUUGCAGUCAAUGUUGGUGAAGAAGGCUGGCAUGAUACAGUGAAGACGCCCUAGUUUGCUGAGGAGGGUUCUGACCUGGACCUGCUCCAGAGCCUCCCGGGGUCUCGCCUGCCCCAGGUUAAACUGGAUUGAAGACCUAAGUCCCAGCUUCUUUCAACCAAAAGACACCUGCUGUCUGGAGCCCUACCCCACCUCCUAGGGCCUGGUGGGCACCUUACAUGCCCUGAGAGAACUGAGUAGAGGUGUCCUCGAGGGAACCAGUGUUGGCUGGAACCAAGGCCUCCUGUCAGCCUCCAAGAACCUUUAUUUCAACUGCACUUGACUUAACCAAGUGACCUUUGGGGAUAAAAUUGUCUUAGGACACUGAAGAAGAUAUAACUAAAGUGGAAGCAUCAAGAGCCAACCUCUGGGAACACAACAGAGAAUCCCUGAUGAAGCAGGAGAACAGUGGAAUGCAGAUCUCAAAUUCUCUUAAAAAGACCAGCCUAAAUGGUCUGACUGAGACUGGAGGGACCCUGACAGUCAUGGUCUCUGGACCCUUUGUUAGCCAAAGAUUGGAACCAUUCCUGAAGCCAACUCUACUGACAGGGAUUGGCCUGGACUAUAAGAUAGACAAUGAUACUGGUGAGGAGUGAGCUUCUUGGCACAAGUAGACACUUGAGACUAUGUGGGCAACUCCUGUCUGGUGGUGAGAGGAGAAGAAAGAGGGGGACAGGAGCUGGUUAAAUGGACGCGGGGAAUACAGAGUGGAGAGGAGGAAUGUGUUGCCUCAUUAAGGCAGAGCAGCUAGGAGUACACAGUGGGGUAUGUAUAACUUUUUGUAUGAGAGACUGACUUGAUUUGUAAACUUUCACCUAAAGCACAAUUUAAAAAAAAAAAACAACCUCUGGCUGGUUUGGGGGUUGAGGGCAUGGGGAGAGUCUGGAUAACUGAAGUCCAGAGACAAUCCCAAAUUCCAUUUAAAUUGUUUCAAACUUGCCGUCUCUCUUCUUUGCCCUUCCUGUCCUUCAGCAACCUGCUAACGAAUGGUGGGGUGACCAUUUCCUGGUUGCUUUCUGCAGGCGAGGCUCUUUGCUGGGCACUUUAGGGAGGACAGUUGCCCAGGGAGAUCAGCUAUAAGAUGCUUAUUUUAAAAGGCUUCGGUGGGCCAUGGGAACAGAGACAUUUGCAGGCCCUAGGUUGGUACCUUUGAAAACAGCUGUACUACUCAGAGCAACAUAGAGGCUCUUGGCUAGAAGGAAAAAUGUCUCUAGAGCUGGAGGCUCCAACCCUGGGGGUCUGUCACUGUGUCUCCCACUCACGUGGUCCUGCAUCUGUGUUGCCCACCUUGAAUAGUAGGGGAAGGGUUGGGUAAAUGGACAUAGGCUAGGGCUGAAGAGCCCAGGUGUUCCCUGAGCCAGACAGAAGCUAAGAGGACAUGGCUGCUAGAGUCUGAACUGUAUUUCCCUGGCCCCGUUUGCUAAUGGAGUGCUGGGGUGGGGUGCUAACCGUGGCUGUUCCCACUAGGAGUCAAAGCUUUUGAAGUUGUCAUCAUCUUGAAUAGACAUGUUUCUCAGGCACUAGCUUCCCUGACAAUUUUUAUGGAAUUCUGAAAGUAUGACACAAUAGGACAUUUUGACAAAAUAGGAAGUCUGUAGUUCCUUUUGUCUGGCAGCCUGGAGCAUCUCUCUUCAGCCAUGGCUGCUGGCGGAUGCCCCCAACCUGGUGCUCUGCCUCCACACCAGGCUGUCUCCUCCAACUCUUCCUCCACAUGACCCGCCAUGUCCCUUUGCUGCCUCCCCACUAGCUCAGGGUAAGGUCCUAACUCCUGGGCAGUACUCACUAGGCCCUUUGUGAUCUGGCUGUUUCCUACCUUUCUGUUGUUAGCUGCUAUUGAGUCCGCUUCCAAUUCAUAGUGACCCCAUGUACAACAGAACGAACACUGCCCAGUCCUGCACCAUCCUCGCGAUCAGUCGUGGAUUUGACUGUUGUGAUCCAAAGGGUUACGCUGACUAAUUUUUGGAAGUAGAUCACCAGGCCUUUCUUGUAGUCUGUCUUGGUCUGGAAGCUCCACUGAAACCUGUUCAGCACCAUAGCAACGUGUGAGCCUCUAUCCACAGACGGGUGGUGGCUGCGCUUGAGGUGCACUGGCCGGGAAUCAAAACUGGGUCUUCCCCACAGAAGGCAAGAAUUCUACCGCUGAACCGCCACUGCCCCUGGCCUACCUUUCAAGCUCCCCCUCCCUUUAUCAGAUGCUGACCCUGCAGGGCUCCCUCCCCUUGCCAGACUGAACAGCCUUGAAGAAGCCACAUUACUUCUUGCUUCCUGCCUCUGCACAUGCUGCUGCCUUUACUGGAGGGUGACACAUGGCUGAUUCCACACAGCCUCCUAAUGUACCUGGGUGUUGCCGCCUGUGGGAAGCCUCCUCUGGCUGGAUUAGAUGGCCCUUGCCCAGGUUCCCAUUGUACCUCCUGCUAUUUAUUAUAACAUGGAAUUGUAAUUGGCAGUUUACUUUGUGUCCCCCUAAAAUUGGGAUCUCCUGGAGGCCGGGAGUUGUUCUGUUCCUCUCUGUGCCUGUCACAACCCAGCGAGCCAUUCCAAGCUUGUUGUACUGACAAAAAUGGGUGUCAGGGUGUCCUGUUCCUUUCUGAGCAAAACACAAAACCUAGGAGCCAUGAAAGCAAAGAUUGAUAAAUUUGGCCGCAAAAAAUGAACAGUUCUGCCUAGCAGUAGCUCACAAACAAGGUCAAAAGACAAACAAACUGGAGACAACAUCUUCACCGCAUAGCAAAGGACUAAUUCCCUGAAUAUGUAAAGAGCUCCUGUAUUAUUGAUAGGAGCCCUGAUGGCACAGUGGUUAAGUGUUUGGCUGCUAACCAGAAAGGCUGGCACUUUGAAACUACCAGCUGCUCCUUGGAAACCCUGUGGGGCAGUUCUACUCUGUCUUAACAGGGUUGCUGUGAGUCGGAAUCAGUGGCAUCGGGUUUUUUUUUUUUUUUUUUUUUACUAUAUUGAUUAGAAAAAGACUUAAGAACACAGAAGAAAAGUGAGCAGAGGAUAAAAACAGAGUUCACAGAUUAAAAAAAACUUAAAAAGCCACUCAGCCACAUUCAUGAGGAGAGCAAUGCAAGCCAAAGUACUGAAAUGAAAGCCUUCACCUAUCAGAUUGCUGAGGGUGUGGGGAACUGGCUGUGUCAUGCAUUGCUGGUGCCUAUAGGCGCCAAGUCGAUUUUGACUCAUAAUUACCCUGGUAGGACAGAAUAGAACUAUAGGAUUUCCAAGCCUGCAAUCUUUGUGGAAGCAAACUGCCACAUACUUCUCCCGAGGAGCCACUGGUGGGUUCGAACUGCUGACCUUUCUGUUUGCUGCCGAGCUGUUAACCACUGUGCCACUAGGGCUCCUCCUACAUUGCUGGUAGGAGUGUAACUUGAUAUAAUGACCUCUUUGGAGAACAAUCUGGAAAUAUCCAUCAAACUUACAUGUUUGACUCAACAAUUCUAUUUGGUUGUACAAUGGUUAGUGCUUGGCUGCUAACUGAAAGGUUGGUGGUUUAAACUCACCCAGUGGUUCCACAGUAGAAAGAUGUGGUAUCUUAGUUGUCUAGUAUUGCUGUAACAGAAAUACCUCAAGUGGAUAGCUUUAACGAACAGAAAUGUAUUCUCUCACAGUUGAGGAGGGUUGAAGUCCAAAUUCAGGCACCAGCUUCAGGGGAAGGCUUUCUCUCUCUCUCUGCUCUGGGGGAAAGUUCUUGUCAUCAAUCUUCCCCUGGGUCUAGGGUCCAGGAGUUUCUCAGCGCAAGGACCCUGGAUCCAAAGGACGUGCUCUGCUCUUUUUUCUUGGUGGUAUGAGGUCCCCCUCACUUCUCUCUCCUUUUAUCUCUUGUAAGAUAAAAGGUGAUGCAGGUCACACCCCAGAGAAACUCCCCUUACAUCAGAUCAGAGCUGUGACCUGAUUAAGGGUGUCGUAUCCCACCCUAAUCCUCUUUAACAAAGUCUAAUCUCGCCUCAUCAGUCACAGGCAGAGAUUAGGAUUUACAACACAUAGGAUGAUUACAUGAGACAAUUACAAAAUGGAAGACCGCCACACAAUACUCGGAAUCAUGACCUAGCCAAAUUCACACAUAUUUUGGGGGGACACAAUUCAAUCUAUGAUACCUGGCCAUCUGUUCUUGUAAAGAUUACAACCUAGAAAACCCUGUGGGGCAGUUCUACUGUGUCACAUGGGGUUUCUAUGAAUCAGAAUUGACAACACCUAACAACAACAACAACAGCAAUUCUACUUCUAGGAAAUUUGUCCCACAAAUAUUCUCACUAUAUAACACUAUUGUGUAUGAGCAAGACUAUUUAUUGCAGCACUGUAUCUGGUAGUAAAAACCUGGAAACGCCCUCACUGUCUGACAACGGGAUUGGUUAAGUAAGUUACUAUUCAUUCAUAUACUGGACUACUACACAGCCACAAAACAAAGUAUGAGGAAGCUUUCUGUGUGCUGAUAUGAGAUGAUUAGUGAGAUAAAUUGGUAAAAACAAAACAAAAAGAAAAAAAAAAAACCCAGGUGCAGAACAAUG